rnacentral:lncRNA from 1 species
CACAGGGAAAGGGUACAGGCGACUCUUGCCUUUUUGCUGGCCUAAGAUAAUGAACAAAAAGUUUCAUUUUAAGUACAAACAGCAAAUAUCUCAACCCACUAAGCAGCAAAACAUGCUCUCUGCCCUCUUUCAGGCUGGACUGCAGGAAUGGGCCACCACUGCCUUGGGUCACCUGGACACCCUCUCCUUCUGAAGAUCCCUGUAGAGAGGCUCGAGUUUCAACUACCCACUUCUCUUUCCAGGCUGGAAUCCAAUUUACACAGAGGUACCACUACCAGUCCCUGAGAUGGCUGUAUUUCAUUUGGAGCCUGUGCUGCUAAGUGAGCUCUAAGAAUGACUGCUGGAUUAAUUUCCACAUAGGAAGCAAAUACCUCAUCUGUGAACCUCGAUGGAAUGUAGAUGAAUGAGAGAGGCGCUGAGCUCCCCAGCACCAUCAAGUCUGAGAACAAACCAGCUUGCAGCAGGCCCACAAACCACAGUUUGGAAACCAAAAAAGGUACAUCAGCCUGUGUUGUCAUAUUCAAAGCCUGUCCAGGAGUCUUCACUCUCAAAAGGCUGCUACUGAGACCUUUUCCACAAACGCAGAAAACAAGCCUCUUAGCUGGUGCUAGCUAAGAGGCUGGCUGAGGAUCUGAGUGCAUUUGUAAAACAUACAGCCCUUGGUGUGUGCUGGCACAAAGAAUGCAUAUUUAUGGGUCAUGAAAAAAGAUUCUGUACCAACAAAGAGUUUCAAGCAUAAAAAAAGAGAAGAUUUUUCAAUUAUGUUUUGUGAUGUAUAUGCCCAGGGUGUAACACAUAUGCACACAUUAUAGGAGUGGUAAUGGUAAGAAAUAUUCUCAGUUCUCAUGGACUCUUGCUGACUCCUAGGGCUUGUUACAGAAGAAAAUAUAUUUCAAAAAAUAUAUUUCAAAAAUAUAAUAAGAUGGUUGGUUUGGUAACAGACACUUAAGCUAUACAGAAGAAAUUCACUCAAGUUCCACAGUUCUAUUGUAAUUCGGUUUCUUCCAGCUUUUUUAAAGACAAUGACUUUAUGUAUUUGAGGAAAUAAGUAAGUUUAUAUGCAAAAUUAACUGGUGUGUAUUGCAAAUUUGUAAGACGUUUUAGCCUUUCCUUCUGGAAUCAGAUGGAAGGAAGGACUAACCUCAUUGAUUAGUCACACAAGAGAAAAAGCUUUUCUUUUCAAAGCUUCCCUUCAAAGAACAUUUGUGCCUGAAUUACGAGAGACCUAAAGGAUGAACUAGUCAAAUGUUCUCCAAAACCUGAAUAAAUCAGCUUUGUGUUGAGAUGAGUUGGCA